AGCGGCAGUGGAGACACAGCCUGGUCUUCGCGCCACUGCAGACCAGAAUCCUGCGCUGGGGCCUUGCCUGGUCCUCCUGACCCUGCCAUGGGCUCCAGGCUCCUCUGCUGUGUGGCUCUCUGCCUCCUGGGAGCAGGCCCCAUGGACACAGCUGUUUUCCAGACUCCAAAAUACCUGCUCACAGAGACGGGAAAUAAUGUGUCCCUGAAAUGUGAACAAACUCUGGGCAAUGAUGCUAUGUACUGGUAUAAGCAGGACUCCGAGAAAUUGCUGAAGAUAAUGUUUACCUACAAUAAUAAGGAACUAAUUUUAAAUGAAACAGUUUCCAAUCGCUUCUCACCUGGGUCUCCAGACAAAGCUCAUUUAAAUCUCCACAUCGAGUCCCCGGAGGCAGGUGACUCUGCUGUGUAUCUCUGUGCCAGCAGCUAUGACACAGCCCUGCAGAGUCCCUGCCUCUCUGUGCACAAACCUCCGGGCUCAGCCAGGAAGCUGUGGGGCAAUGUGUUCCCCGCGCCCUUGGGCUCUGUUCUCCCUUCCGCGUUGGACAGAGCCCAGACAGAGUUUCCGCUGUAG